UCUGGCGGCCAUGUUGUGCGGGGGGAGGGGAGGAAGGAGUUGAGAGAAGACGGGAGAGACAGACUCUCUCUCACACACACCGCACAAGAUGGCCGGGGAGGCAGCCGCAACCGGGCUCUCAGGUGGUUCGGCCGCCGCUCGGUUCGCCGGAGUUGGGGAGGCACCUGGGCACCGGCCUCGCGGGCCACUUCGGGCCCGGCACUCAGGGGUUCCGGGCAGACGGAGAGCGGCGAGCCGAGCUCCGUACGGGGCUGCGGACAGGCGGAGGGCGAUGGCGCCGGGCUCCGAAACUCCGUCGGCGCCUCGAACUCCGCGGGCGGGCGGGCGGCGAGCCGGACGCCGCCGCAGGCAGGGUGAGGAGGGGAACGGCUCUCCGCACCCCGGCCCGCCGCCGGUCUCCGCAUUGCUGAUAGAACUCCAUAAAUGUUUACCUACUUGAUGGCUGACUGGCUUCCAGACGGAUUGUAGAGAUCUAAUAUUUUAGGAUUGUACCUGGGUACUGUUUCUUGGCUGCAGUGGCUGAUCUAUUAAACCUGGAAUAAAAGGAAACGUUCAAAAUUCUAUAGUGUUCAUAUCAGAUGUGGUGAGGAAUGUGGUGAUCUCAGGAUGCACAAAAUAGCUGAUGUUGAUUGAAGCAUUGAGUCAAGUCAGAUGAAGAGUGUCAAAUGGAGUCUACGAAUGGGAAACCAAGAUGGCAGUUCCACUGUUGAUUGAGAGGUUGAGGAAAUGGACUAAUGAAUGAGUGCUGUGAUAUAUCCAUCCAAGACAGGGACACUUUAACAUGGACUUCAAUGUUACUAAACCAGAGAAGAUUUGGGUUUGUGAUCAUCCUACCAAAAUGGACUUGAAUUUCUGAAGGGUGUUGUACAAGUGUACAGAAAAUGGAUCUGUUUUUGAGGGAUGGGUGGCAAAAUUUUUAUACUCCAAGAAAUGUAUACUUAACAGGGGAAUGAAGUUGAUAUCAGGUAUAUACUACCUAUUUGGGCAAAAUGUAUUGUUAUGCUAUUUUUAAGUGAUGUGUUUAAUAAAUGUUUUUUUUACACUUUA